UGCAGAGUCCGAGGAGAAGAAUGUGGAGGCUGAAAGUCAAUGGACUCCCACGAGGAGAAAGUCGAAAAUCCAUUCAUAGAUUUUUUUUUCAUUUAAAUUUUUGGGUUGUGCUCAAAUUUCCGUUAAAUUUGUGGGUUUUUUUGGUGUGAUUUUAUCUGAAAGUUAUGUUGCCUUGAAGGAUGGUAACCCUUUUCACUCUCCUCUUUUUGUCUCUUUAAACUCUUUAUGUAGAUUAUAUUUUGUUUGAUUGCAGAGUUUUUGGUGGUCAAAUAUUUCUCCUCUUUUGUUUGUUUGAUUUCUUUCUAAUAUUCAAAUAAUUAUUGUUGUUUAAUCCUGAUAGCACUGUUGCUGCAGCUUGAAUGGAUAUGUACCAGAGCAUAGGAGAUGCUCUUGUGCAUUAGUAUGGUGGCUCUGCAGCUCAAAACACUCUUAUGUUCUUAUUUUAUUCUUGGGUUAGAGCAUGCAUAUAUUAUUAGUUGGUAGAUGCCAUAAAUCAACCCCUAUAUUCUAAAGUGAAGUAAAAAAAGAAGGAAAACUCUAUAACUCUAAUCAGAUGUCCACUGAAUUCGGGUGUGAUGGCCUAAAUUUUAUAUGUCUGGAAUUAUCCACUUAACACCAAUUUGUUACAUUCGGGUCUCCACCCCACAUUUCACAAGUUCAAAUUCCAUUGAAGUCAAUUCUGCAGAUUGUGUCUGCAAUUAGAUCAGAGAUCAACAACUCUGUUGUUAUUCUGUGGAAGAUUGCUUUUGGGAAGGAUCUGAAGCAGUUCAUCUCUAUAUGUUUAUUCUCUGUGUGUUUAUUGCCAUGUAGCUCUGUCUUCAUAUUUGCGAAUGGUGUUAUGAUCGAUUAGGUGAUGCCUGACCUCUGACUUUGUUUGGAGCUCAAAUUUUGUGAGCAUUACAUUUGAUUGUAUUGCACUUGGUUUGAUGUUGUUUUGGUCGACAAUGCAAGGAUAGGAGAAACAAAGAGGAUGACACUUAUAACUGCCCCUCCCCAUUGGCCAUCUUCAAAUUUGGAUCACAAGAAGGGAGCAACAUAGAGUUGGCUUCAUUUCAUUCCAUUGACUCUCUAAAUAGGUCCAAGAACUCACUAAAUAGUGAAAUUAAGGAGAGGAUUGAGAAGACCAAGUAAAGAAGAGAUGUGGUUUUGCAAUCUAUGACAGCGGCUAUGACAAAGCUUUUCAUAGUGGUCAGGAUGGGUACUACCAAUUUCUGUUGGCUCUGAUUCCACACUUCAGAAAGAGCUGGAGGUGACAAUGUGGUGGAAAAGUCCCUAAUGUGAAAUGGAAAGAUGUUGGCGGUCUAGAGGAUGUGAAGAAUUCGAUUCUGGAUACUGUUCAAGACUUCAGGGAGAGAAAGAGAGGGUGGAUGCAGUCACUUUCUCUUUCUAAUUAAAUCCUUCCUUUGCCUAUUCGCGUCGCUGGUUGUUGGCGUUCGUCUUCCUCCUCAAGAGAGAUUGCCUUUGGCUGUUAAGGAGUUGGGCACAUGUGAUCUUUACUCUCAGUGUACCUUUCCAAAGACUCGAUGGACGACUACCUUCAUUACCUAUUUAAAGGGCCACUUUGGCAUCAGGGCCGGCCCAAGCCCAGUGCAAGCAGGGCAACCGUCCGGGGCCCAAAAAAAUUAGGGGCACCAAAAUUAUUAAGUUAGGGCACUUUUUUUUACGUCGCCCCGGGCCUCAAAAAUCUCUGGACCGGCCCUGUUUGGCAUCAUCCGGAGCAGGCACAAUGCUACAGAAUAAUCCCUUGAAUGAUACUCAGCUCUCAGUUUCCAAGCCAACCCCAUUCGAUGCUGAUCAGAGAUACUCGUGUUUGCAGCAUGAUGGCUUAGUCUCUAGGCGUGAGAAGUCAAUGACUCAUUUGCAAGAAGAUAAGCAACAACUGAGAAGAUGCAGUUCUGGCGCCGAAUCCCUGGGUUUUGGGUAGAAAUGGAAUGGAGAUGAUACUGAAGAAGUUUUUCCUCCCCGGUGUUUGGUAAGGCGCUUCUCAAGACGACGUUGGAACGUGGGUGAUGAGGAUUCAAGGGAUAAGGAGGAAAUGGCAAAGGAGGAGGACCAAAACGUGUUCUCUGUUAGGAUAAUUGGUGCCCUAAAUGCCAGAAAGUCUGCACUCACCACUCAUUAAUUAUAUGCACAAUGAAUUUACGAAAUUGCUCAUUUUGACGAGUGGGAUCGCCAGUUUCCUUCACCUUUUAUGUCGCUCACCGCUUCACUGCAAAUAAGAUUAAACCAGAUCCCUUCCAAGUUUCAACGACCGCUACCACCUGGACCUCAGCUAUCCUUCUGUUGUUCCUCAAAACUUUCAUAUUGGUACAUAAGCUCAACUCUGAUUCUAUUUCAAACCCAAAGAUUGAUUAUUUUUACUCUUUUUUCUCUGUUAUUUAGUAAACUUUCCCAACUAUCACAAAAUGAUUUAUAAGAUUAGGAAUUGAUAGAACAGUAGUUGUUAAA